rnacentral:rRNA from 1 species
AUUGAACGCUAGCGGCAGGCCUAACACAUGCAAGUCGAACGAGUGGCGGACGGGUGAGUAAUGUCUGGGAAACUGCCUGAUGGAGGGGGAUAACUACUGGCAAGGGUAGCUAAUACCGCAUACCAUCGGAUGUGCCCAGAUGGGAUUAGCUAGUAGGGGGGGUAAAGGCUCACCUAGGCGACGCUCCCUAGCUGGUCGGAGAGGAGGACCAGCUACACGGGAACGGAGACACGGUCCAGACUCCUACGGGAGGCAGCAGUGGGGAAUAUUGCACAAUGGGCGCAAGCCUGAUGCAGCCAUGCCGCGUGUAUGAAGAAGGCCUUCGGGUUGUAAAGUACUUUCAGCGGGGAGGCGUUACCCGCAGAAGAAGCACCGGCUAACUACGUGCCAGCAGCCGCGGUAAUUC